UACGGAGGGUGCAAGCGUUGUCCGGAAUCACUGGGCGUAAAGGGCGCGUAGGCGGCCACCGCAAGUCGAUUGUGAAAUCUCCGGGCUUAACCCGGAAAGGUCAACCGAUACUGCGGGGCUAGAGUGCAGAAGGGGCAACUGGAAUUCUCGGUGUAGCGGUGAAAUGCGUAGAUAUCGAGAGGAACACCUGCGGCGAAGGCGGGUUGCUGGGCUGACACUGACGCUGAUGCGCGAAAGCUAGGGGAGCGAACGGG
rnacentral:rRNA from 1 species